rnacentral:misc_RNA from 1 species
UACGUAGGGGGCAAGCGUUGUCCGGAAUUAUUGGGCGUAAAGCGCGCGCAGGCGGUUUACUUAAGUCUGAUGUGAAAUCUCGGGGCUCAACCCCGUGCGGCCAUUGGAAACUGGGAGACUUGAGUACAGAAGAGGAGAGUGGAAUUCCCCGUGUAGCGGUGAAAUGCGUAGAUAUGCGGAGGAACACCAGUGGCGAAGGCGACUCUCUGGUCUGUAACUGACGCUGAGGCGCGAAAGCGUGGGGAGCAAACAGG